rnacentral:rRNA from 1 species
AGAGUUUGAUCAUGGCUCAGAACGAACGCUGGCGGCAUGCCUAACACAUGCAAGUCGAACGAGACCUUCGGGUCUAGUGGCGCACGGGUGCGUAACGCGUGGGAACCUGCCCCUUGGUUCGGAGUAACAGUUAGAAAUGACUGCUAAUACCGGAUGAUGACUUCGGUCCAAAGAUUUAUCGCCGAGGGAUGGGCCCGCGUAGGAUUAGCUAGUUGGUGGGGUAAUGGCCUACCAAGGCGACGAUCCUUAGCUGGUCUGAGAGGAUGAUCAGCCACACUGGGACUGAGACACGGCCCAGACUCCUACGGGAGGCAGCAGUGGGGAAUAUUGGACAAUGGGCGAAAGCCUGAUCCAGCAAUGCCGCGUGAGUGAUGAAGGCCUUAGGGUUGUAAAGCUCUUUACCCGGGAUGAUAAUGACAGUACCGGGAGAAUAAGCUCCGGCUAACUCCGUG